rnacentral:tRNA from 1 species
CGAUUUAGUUUAUUUUAAAAUUUUUAAUUUGUAAUUAAAAGAUAGUUUUGGCUUGAUU